rnacentral:rRNA from 1 species
UGAGGAAUAUUGGUCAAUGGGAGGAGCCCUGAACCAGCCAUGCCGCGUGCAGGACGACGGCUCUACGAGUUGUAAACUGCUUUUGUACCGGGGUAAAAUGCUCUACGAGUAGGGUUUUUGAAAGUACGGUACGAAUAAGGAUCGGCUAACUCCGUGCCAGCAGCCGCGGUAAUACGGAGGAUCCGAGCGUUAUCCGGAUUCAUUGGGUUUAAAGGGUGCGUAGGUUGUUUUAUAAGUUAGCGGUGAAAUACCGAUGCUCAACAUCGGGGCUGCCGCUAAUACUGUAGGACUAGAGAUCGGAUGCAGCAGGCGGAAUGUGUAGUGUAGCGGUGAAAUGCAUAGAUAUUGCGCAGAACUCCGAUUGCGAAGGCAGCGUACUGGCGCCUGACUGACGCUGAGGCACGAAAGCGUGGGGAUCGAACAGGAUUAGAUACCC